rnacentral:rRNA from 1 species
CGGGUGAGUAACGCGUGAGGAAUCUGCCUCAAAGAGGGGGACAACAGUUGGAAACGACUGCUAAUACCGCAUAAGCCCACGGCUCGGCAUCGAGCAGGGGGAAAAGGAGCAAUCCGCUUUGAGAUGGCCUCGCGUCCGAUUAGCUAGUUGGUGAGGUAACGGCCCACCAAGGCGACGAUCGGUAGCCGGACUGAGAGGUUGAACGGCCACAUUGGGACUGAGACACGGCCCAG